rnacentral:rRNA from 1 species
CACGUUGGUUGGCGGCGAACGGCUCAGUAACACGUAGUCAACCUGCCCUCGGGUCGAGGAUAAUCUCGGGAAACUGAGGCUAAUACUCGAUAGAUCAAGAUUCCUGGAAUGGGUUUUGGUCCAAACGGCGUGACAGCAUCUUGUCAUUUUCGCCCGAGGAUGGGACUGCGGCCGAUCAGGCUGUUGGUGGGGUAAAGGCCCACCAAACCAGUAACCGGUACGGGCUUUGAGAGAAGGAGCCCGGAGAUGGACACUGAGACAAGGGUCCAGGUCCUACGGGGCGCAGCAGGCGCGAAACCUUCGCAAUGCGCGAAAGCGCGACGAGGUUAUUCUGAGUGAUUUCCGCUGAGGAAAUCUUUUCUUAGAUCUAAAAAGUCUGGGGAAUAAGGGGAGGGCAAGUCUGGUGUCAGCCGCCGCGGUAAUACCAGCUCCUCGAGUGGUCAGGGCGUUUAUUGGGCCUAAAGCAUCCGUAGCCUGCUCAGUAGGUCUCCUGUUAAAUCCAACGGCUCAACCGUUGGUCUGCAGGAGAUACCGCUGGGGCUAGGAGGCGGGAGAAGCGGAACGGUACUCCGAGGGUA